UACGAAGGGGGCUAGCGUUGUUCGGAAUUACUGGGCGUAAAGGGCGCGUAGGCGGUACUUCAAGUCAGGCGUGAAAGCCCCGGGCUCAACCUGGGAACCGCGCUUGAGACUGGAGAACUAGAGUUCGGGAGAGGAUGGUGGAAUUCCCAGUGUAGAGGUGAAAUUCGUAGAUAUUGGGAAGAACACCGAUGGCGAAGGCAGCCAUCUGGACCGACACUGACGCUGAGGCGCGAAAAGCGUGGGGAGCAAACAGGAUUGAGAAACCCUGG
rnacentral:rRNA from 1 species